rnacentral:misc_RNA from 1 species
CUGGAACCUGUGUGCUCUCUGC